rnacentral:rRNA from 1 species
UACGUAGGGGGCAAGCGUUGUCCGGAAUCACUGGGCGUAAAGGGCGCGUAGGCGGCGCGGGGAAGUCAUCGGUGAAAGUUCAGGGCUCAACUCUGAAUCGGCCGGUGAUACUCUCGUGCUCGAGCACUGUAGAGGCAGGUGGAAUUCCGGGUGUAGCGGGUGGAAUGCGUAGAGAUCCGGAAGAACACCGGUGGCGAAGG